CCCCUCUUUUCCCUGCGUCCUAAUGUGGACUUGCACUGCCAGGUAUCUCUUCCGAAGGCUACCGCAUCUUGAACAACAAAGACAAGACCAUCAAGGUACCUUGGGCGCCUUAGGCACCUGUUUGGUGUGUCAAGCUGCUAAAAUGUCAUAUUUAUUCAAGACUGUUCUAACCAGAGCAUUUUCUCUACUAAGUUAAGGCAGAGAGACUGGACUUUGUACUGAAACAAGGGCUGGGGAUUUUACAGCCAAGGGGCAGUGCGGGGAUGAACCUGGCUGCAGGAAUAAAGAUUUCUCUGAAGAGAAGCUUGUGCCCUUCCCUCUAGCCAACAGACUCUUGAAACAGUGGACCAAGAAACUGGGACUCCCCCGACUUCACCCCAUCCCAAGUCUCAAGGUAAAAUUGACUCAGGAUACAGCUUCAUAUCCCACAUUUACCUCACAGCCUGCUGGAA
rnacentral:lncRNA from 1 species